UGGGAUUUAGUGUAUAAGGUAGCACGAAGAAUUUUGGAUUCUUAAGAUUAGGUUCAAAUCCUAUGAUUCUAG
rnacentral:tRNA from 1 species